CCUACGGGAGGCAGCAGUGGGGAAUAUUGGACAAUGGGCGAAAGCCUGAUCCAGCAACGCCGCGUGAGGGAUGACGGCCUUCGGGUUGUAAACCUCUUUCAGCAGGGACGAAGCGCAAGUGACGGUACCUGCAGAAGAAGCACCGGCCAACUACGUGCCAGCAGCCGCGGUAAUACGUAGGGUGCGAGCGUUGUCCGGAAUUAUUGGGCGUAAAGGGCUCGUAGGCGGUUUGUCGCGUCGGGAGUGAAAACUCAGGGCUUAACCCUGAGCCUGCUUCCGAUACGGGCAGACUAGAGGUAUGCAGGGGAGAACGGAAUUCCUGGUGUAGCGGUGAAAUGCGCAGAUAUCAGGAGGAACACCGGUGGCGAAGGCGGUUCUCUGGGCAUUACCUGACGCUGAGGAGCGAAAGUGUGGGGAGCGAACAGGAUUAGAUACCCUGGUAGUCCACACCGUAAACGUUGGGCGCUAGGUGUGGGACCUNAUCACGACGUCGUCGCGCNGCUACGCAUAGCGCCCGCCGUCGGUACGGUACGGCCGCGACGACGUAAACGUACGAAAGAAGUAAGUACGCGUUGAGAGUUGCGACGGCGACGACGAGGGAGGAGG
rnacentral:rRNA from 1 species